CUUUUAUUAUAUUUAUUAUUUAUUAUACAUUAUCAUCUAUUUAUUAUUUAUAUAUUUUAUAAUCUAUUAUACUCCUUUAUAGCUUUCCCCUCUGGCAACAGUGCAAAUUCCACAAAAGCAGGGCUUCUGUGUCUGUUUUACUAAUAUUUCUUGAGCACCUAGAACUAUGCCUGCCAAAGGAGAGGCUCUGCUGAAUAUGGAAGGGUGCAAACAGUAGAACGAACCUGGACCACUGAACCCCUGAAUUAUCCAACCAUCUUACUUCUGGACUUCUUAUUUUGUGACUAAAAAAUUCCUUUUGAAAUGAGAGUUAUUUGUGAUUGAGAUCUGGUUUACUUAAGAGCCAAAAAACACAGGAAGGCCCUUGCCGGAUGCCAGCAACUUGAUAUUAGAUUUCCCAGCCUACAAAACUAAAUUCUGGAAUAUCUCUUGAUUCAAUGACAAAAGUUACAAAAAGAGUUCUUUCUAAUUGCUAGGAUGUAUUUGCAUUUUGCCAUCAUUGGAAAUAUGCCCUUACCCAGAAUUCAUUCCAAAGUAAAGUCAGAGCAUAAGGAAAAUAGAAGUUCUCGGUGAUGCUGGCAGAGUGAAUAGAUUACAUCCAUGUUGUUAUGAGAGUCUGAAUCUGAACAUUGAAUCUGACCCUUCUGAGAGGACACCACACCACUAAAGGAAUCAAACAGAAGAUACAAAAUUUCUGCUCUCAGUUCUCUUCGUUGUAUAGUCAUUGCUGCUUCCGGUGAGCUUCAACUGUGGUGAAGAAAGACACCCACAUACCUAACAACAACAUAAGAGAGAAAGAAAAAAAUACAUUUAGCAAAGGUACAAGCAACAUGUUACAUGAUCACUGAGGAAGAAGCAGAUGUGUUAAAGUGUAAAAAGGAAGCUGUGAAAGAGAUAUCAAAAAUAGGAGGAAGAGAGAGAGAGAAAAAAUGAAAGAAGAUGUGUAAUCCUGGGCUGUAGCUACAUGGCCUCGGAUGUGGUGAACUGCAGACAGAGCAGUGUGGCAGCUGAAUGACAAACACAGCAAAUUGGAACAACAUAAACCCUCCGUAACUUUAACAUCAUAGCUGAUUAAGUUUUCUGGCAUGUACAAUGCAUCCACUGUGAGAAAUUCUGUAUCUCAGACAUGACUCACUGUUUAGCAUGUUUAUACCAUUAGGAAAUACUAAAGAUGUUUCCUCAAGCG